CUGACUCUCCGCAGCACCUCUGCAGAGCCUGGCAUGUAGAAGGUGCUCAGUGAAUACUGGUUGAGUGAAUAAACAAGAAAAACCCUGAAGACCAGGAGAACAUGGUUAUUUUAUAAAACGUCACAAAAGGUAAGGGGAAAACAAACAGUGGAGAAGCGGGAGCAGCUAAUCUGUGAUCUUGAUGGAGAAGAGGUGCUGCGUAUGUAUCCAUAAUGAAAGACCAAGAUUGACAGGAGGAAGAUGGGCCAGGCAGGAGGGUAUAAAUAGCAGCGCUGGCUUAUUUGUAACUUUCAUUUUUAGGUAAGGAUGAUUGGCACAUGGAUGGCUUGGAUGAAGGGAGCCCCCUGAUCUUUAACUUGCAGGUCACAUGGAGAAAACUUUGCAAAAAUGCUCCAACAUGGAGAUGUCAACUUGAGUGACAGCCCUGUGCGAGGUGCCUUGCUCCGGCUGCCUUCUUUACAUGCAUGGCUUCACAGAAAUGAUGACUGCCAUUUGAACAGAAAGACAUCCUUCCCAACCGGGGUCAGGAAACUGACAGGGCCCACCCAUUAAUAGAAAUAACUGUCAUUUAAAAUAAAAUGCUUGGUGGAAAA